rnacentral:rRNA from 1 species
GACGAACGCUGGCGGCGUGCCUAAUACAUGCAAGUCGAACGCAUUUUCUUUCACCGUAGCUUGCUACACCGACAGAAAAUGAGUGGCGAACGGGUGAGUAACACGUGGGUAACCUGCCCAUCAGCGGGGGAUCACACUUGGAAACAGGUGCUAAUACCGCAUAAUUCCAUUUACCGCAUGGUAGAUGGGUGAAAGGCUCUUUUGCGUCACUGAUGGAUGGACCCGCGGUGCAUUAGCUAGUUGGUGGGGUAACGGCCUACCUAGGCGUCGAUGCAUAGCCGACCUGAGAGAGGCAUCGGCCACACUGGGACUGAGACACGGCCCAGACUCCUACGGGAGGCAGCAGUAGGGAAUCUUCGGCAAUGGACGCCAGUCUGACCGAGCAACGCCGCGUGGGUGUAGAAGGUUUUCGGAUCGUAAAACUCUGUUGUUAGAGAAGAACAAGGAUGAGAGUGGAAAGUUCAUCCCUUGACGGUAUCUAACCAGACAGCCACGGCUAACUACGUG